rnacentral:rRNA from 1 species
CGCGGCCUAUCAGCUUGUUGGUGAGGUAACGGCUCACCAAGGCUAUGACGGGUAGCUGGUCUGAGAGGACGACCAGCCACAAUGGAACUGAGACACGGUCCAUACUCCUACGGGAGGCAGCAGUAAAGAAUCUUCCACAAUGGGCGAAAGCCUGAUGGAGCAAUACCGCGUGGGUGAAGAAUGUCGAAAGAUUGUAAAGCCCUUUUCUGAGGGAAGAACUCUGACGGUACCUCAGGAAUAAGCACCGGCUAACUCCGUGCCAGCAGCCGCGGUAAUACGGAGGGUGCAAGCGUUACCCGGAAUCAUUGGGCGUAAAGCGUCCGCAGGCGGUUUUUUAAGUCGAAUAUUAAAUCUCGGGGCCCAACUUCGAGGCCGUAUUCGAAACUGAAAAACUAGAGUUUUCCAGAGGCAAGCGGAAUUCUGUGUGUAGGGGUAAAAUCCGUAGAUACACAGAGGAACACCAAAAGCGAAGGCAGCUUGCUGGGGAAUUACUGACGCUCAUGGACGAAAGCGUGGGUAGCGAACGGGAUUAGAUACCCCGGUAGUCCACGCCGUAAACGAUGGAUACUAGUUGUUGGAGGACUCGAUCCCUUCAGUGACGACGCUAACGCAUUAAGUACCCCGCCUGGGGAGUACGG